UACGAAGGGGGCUAGCGUUGCUCGGAAUUGCUGGGCGUAAAGCGCACGUAGGCGGGUUCUUAAGUCGGUGGUGAAAUCCUGGAGCUCAACUCCAGAACUGCCUUCGAUACUGGGAAUCUUGAGUCCGGGAGAGGUGAGUGGAACUGCGAGUGUAGAGGUGAAAUUCGUAGAUAUUCGCAAGAACACCAGUGGCGAAGGCGGCUCACUGGCCCGGUACUGACGCUGAGGUGCGAAAGCGUGGGGAGCAAACAGG
rnacentral:rRNA from 1 species